rnacentral:rRNA from 1 species
GGCGUAAGCGCGCGCAGGCGGUUUCUUAAGUCUGAUGUGAAAGCCCCCGGCUCAACCGGGGAGGGUCAUUGGAAACUGGGGAACUUGAGUGCAGAAGAGGAGAGUGGAAUUCCACGUGUAGCGGUGAAAUGCGUAGAGAUGUGGAGGAACACCAGUGGCGAAGGCGACUCUCUGGUCUGUAACUGACGCUGAGGCGCGAAAGCGUGGGGAGCGAACAGGAUUAGAUACCCUGGUAGUCCACGCCGUAAACGAUGAGUGCUAAGUGUUAGAGGGUUUCCGCCCUUUAGUGCUGCAGCAAACGCAUUAAGCACUCCGCCUGGGGAGUACGGUCGCAAGACUGAAACUCAAAGGAAUUGACGGGGGCCCGCACAAGCGGUGGAGCAUGUGGUUUAAUUCGAAGCAACGCGAAGAACCUUACCAGGUCUUGACAUCCUCUGACAACCCUAGAGAUAGGGCUUCCCCUUCGGGGGCAGAGUGACAGGUGGUGCAUGGUUGUCGUCAGCUCGUGUCGUGAGAUGUUGGGUUAAGUCCCGCAACGAGCGCAACCCUUGAUCUUAGUUGCCAGCAUUCAGUUGGGCACUCUAAGGUGACUGCCGGUGACAAACCGGAGGAAGGUGGGGAUGACGUCAAAUCAUCAUGCCCCUUAUGACCUGGGCUACACACGUGCUACAAUGGGCAGAACAAAGGGCAGCGAAGCCGCGAGGCUAAGCCAAUCCCACAAAUCUGUUCUCAGUUCGGAUCGCAGUCUGCAACUCGACUGCGUGAAGCUGGAAUCGCUAGUAAUCGCGGA